AUGCAGAUCUUUGUGAAGACCCUCACUGGUAAGACCAUCACCCUCGAGGUCGAGUCUUCUGACACGAUCGAUAAUGUUAAGGCCAAGAUCCAGGAUAAGGAGGGCAUCCCCCCGGACCAGCAGCGUCUCAUCUUCGCUGGCAAGCAGCUCGAGGAUGGCCGCACCUUGGACUACAACAUUCAGAAGGAGUCCACCCUCCACCUGGUGCUCAGGCUCCGUGGUGGCAUGCAGAUUUUUGUCAAGACACUGACCGGCAAGACCAUCACCCUGGAGGUCGAGUCCUCUGACACCAUAGACAACGUCAAGGCAAAGAUCCAGGACAAGGAGGGCAUGCCCCCGGACCAGCAGCGUCUCAUCUUCGCUGGCAAGCAGCUUGAGGAUGGCCGCACCCUUGCUGACUACAACAUCCAGAAGGAGUGCACCCUCCACCUUGUCCUCCGCCUCCGUGGUGGCAUGUAG
rnacentral:rRNA from 1 species